rnacentral:rRNA from 1 species
GACGAACGCUGGCGGCGUGCUUAACACAUGCAAGUCGAACGGAAAGGCCCUGCUUUUGUGGGGUGCUCGAGUGGCGAACGGGUGAGUAACACGUGAGUAACCUGCCCUUGACUUUGGGAUAACUUCAGGAAACUGGGGCUAAUACCGGAUAGGAGCUCCUGCUGCAUGGUGGGGGUUGGAAAGUUUCGGCGGUUGGGGAUGGACUCGCGGCUUAUCAGCUUGUUGGUGGGGUAGUGGCUUACCAAGGCUUUGACGGAUAGCCGGCCUGAGAGGGUGACCGGCCACAUUGGGACUGAGAUACGGUCCAGACUCCUACGGGAGGCAGCAGUGGGGAAUAUUGCACAAUGGGCGGAAGCCUGAUGCAGCAACGCCGCGUGCGGGAUGACGGCCUUCGGGUUGUAAACCGCUUUCGCCUGUGACGAAGCGUGAGUGACGGUAAUGGGUAAAGAAGCACCGGCUAACUACGUG